rnacentral:rRNA from 1 species
UUGAACGCUGGCGGCAGGCCUAACACAUGCAAGUCGAGCGGAUGAAGGGAGCUUGCUCCUGAAUUCAGCGGCGGACGGGUGAGUAAUGCCUAGGAAUCUGCCUGGUAGUGGGGGACAACGUUUCGAAAGGAACGCUAAUACCGCAUACGUCCUACGGGAGAAAGCAGGGGACCUUCGGGCCUUGCGCUAUCAGAUGAGCCUAGGUCGGAUUAGCUAGUUGGUGAGGUAAUGGCUCACCAAGGCGACGAUCCGUAACUGGUCUGAGAGGAUGAUCAACCACACUGGAACUGAGACACGGUCCAGACUCCUACGGGAGGCAGCAGUGGGGAAUAUUGGACAAUGGGCGAAAGCCUGAUCCAGCCAUGCCGCGUGUGUGAAGAAGGUCUUCGGAUUGUAAAGCACUUUAAGUUGGGAGGAAGGGUUGUAGAUUAAUACUCUGCAAUUUUGACGUUACCGACAGAAUAAGCACCGGCUAACUCUGUGCCAGCAGCCGCAGUAAAAC